CCUACGGGGGGCAGCCGUGAGGAAUAUUGGUCAAUGGACGAGAGUCUGAACCAGCCAAGUAGCGUGAAGGAUGACUGCCCUAUGGGUUGUAAACUUCUUUUAUAUGGGAAUAAAAUGUUCCACUUGUGGGAUUUUGUAUGUACCAUAUGAAUAAGGAUCGGCUAACUCCGUGCCAGCAGCCGUGGUAAUACGGAGGAUCCGAGCGUUAUCCGGAUUUAUUGGGUGUAAAGGGAGCGUAGGUGGAUUGUUAGGGAAGUUGUGAAAGUUUGCGGCUCAACCGUAAAAUUGCAGUUGAAACUGGCAGUCUUGAGUACAGUAGAGGUGGGCGGAAUUCGUGGUGUAGCGGUGAAAUGCUUAGAUAUCACGAAGAACUCCGAUUGCGAAGGCAGUUCACUGGACUGCAACUGACACUGAGGCUCGAAAGUGUGGGUAUCAAACAGGAUUAGAUACCCUAGUAGUC
rnacentral:rRNA from 1 species